rnacentral:lncRNA from 1 species
GUGGUUGCUAAUAAAGACAUGGAACCAGAGAUGGUCUGUAUUGACAGCUGUGGACGAGCCAAUGGAAUGGGUGUCAUUGGACAGGAUGGUCUGCUUUUUAAAGUGACUCUGGGCUUAAUUAGAAAGCUAUUAGCUCCAGAUUGUGAAAUCAUACAGGAAGUGGGAAAACUCUAUCCACUGGAGAUAGUAUUUGGAAUGAAUGGAAGAAUAUGGGUUAAGGCAAAAACCAUCCAGCAGACUUUAAUUUUGGCAAACAUUUUAGAAGCUUGUGAACACAUGACGUCAGAUCAAAGAAAACAGAUCUUCUCCAGAUUGGCAGAAAGUUGAUAUAGGUGGACUUUUUUACAGGUCAGUUGAGGCAAAAAACUAUGGGUUUUUUCAGGUGAACCUCCCCCAUUUAAAUACUCAGAAGAUAAGGUGUGAAUGUAUGUAUUAUUAGAGUCCGAAAGUAUUUUUAUAAGUUACUGGUUUUCACCCACGCUUUUGUGGGAGAGAAAAUCAUUGCAAAAUCAUUUUUUUUGUUCGGUACAAUAAAGUUUACU